rnacentral:misc_RNA from 1 species
UCUCCGUUGGUGAACCAGCGGAGGGAUCAUUACCGAGUUAUCAACUCCCAAACCCCUGUGAACAUACCAACGUUGUUUCGGCGGGACCGCCCCGGCGCCCUCGGCGUCCCGGAACCAGGCGCCCGCCGGAGGACCCAAACUCUUGUUUAAACCAUAGUGGCAUAUUCUGAGUCUCACAAGAAAAAUGAAUCAAAACUUUCAACAACGGAUCUCUUGGCUCUG